rnacentral:rRNA from 1 species
GGCAAAAAAGGGGGAAAAAAGGAAAAAAAAAAAAGUGGGUGUGAAUGAAGGGGGGCAUGGAAAAGGAGGGCGGAGAAAGAAAAGAGGAAAAGAAAAAACGAAAAAGGGGUCGAUUAUUUUGAAGGGGGAAGGCCUCGAACAAAAGAGGAAAAGGACAGGGGGCGGGGGGGGUGCCCCCCUCCCCCGUUUUACCGAGAUGUUGUAUUCUCCGAGAGAAUGCAUUAUCUUCUCCUUCGGGAAAACGGGAGGGGGAAGGGCGUUAGCCUGAAUUUAUCCAAGGUGGAAUGGACGUUCCUACCCGAAGCCCUGCCCCAUACACCCGACUGAUUCAUCUGGGGUGGCUCUUUUGCAAUUUCCUUACUCCUACGGGAGGCAGCAGUGGGGAAUAUUGCACAAUGGGCGCAAGCCUGAUGCAGCCAUGCCGCGUGUAUGAAGAAGGCCUUCGGGUUGUUACUCCUACGGGAGGCAGCAGUGACAAAAAUUAAGCCAUAAACGAAAGUUGACUAAGCCAGU